rnacentral:rRNA from 1 species
GACGAACGCUGGCGGCGUGCUUAACACAUGCAAGUCGAACGGAAAGGCCCUGCUGUUGUGGGGUGCUCGAGUGGCGAACGGGUGAGUAACACGUGAGUAACCUGCCCUUGACUUUGGGAUAACGUCAGGUAACUGGGGUUAAUACUGUAUAGUACCUCCUGCUGCAUGGUGGUGGUUGGAAAGGUUGGUCGGUUGGGGAUGGACUCGCGGCUUGCCAGUUUGUUGGUGGGGUAGUGGCUUACCAGGGCUCUGACGGGUAGCCGGCCUGGGAGGGGGACCGCCCACAUUGGGCCUGGGAUAGGGCCCGGAGCCCAACGGGAGGAAGCAGGGGGGAAUGUGGCAAAAUGGCCGGAAGCCUGAUGCAGCAACGCCGGGGGCGGAAUACCGGCCUUCGGGUUGUAAACCGCUUUCGCAUGUGACGAAGCGUGAGUGACGGUAAUGGGUAAAGAAGCACCGGCUAACUACGUG